GGACUACUGGGGUAUCUAAUCCUGUUUGCUCCCCACGCUUUCGCACCUCAGCGUCAAUACCUGUCCAGUGAGCCGCCUUCGCCACUGGUGUUCUUCCGAAUAUCUACGAAUUUCACCUCUACACUCGGAAUUCCACUCACCUCUCCAGGAUUCUAGCUACCUAGUUUCAAAGGCAAUUCCGGGGUUGAGCCCCGGGCUUUCACCCCUGACUUGAAUAGCCGCCUACGUGCGCUUUACGCCCAGUAAUUCCGAACAACGCUAGCUCCCUCCGUAUUACCGCGGCUGCUGGCAC
rnacentral:rRNA from 1 species